GAUGAACGCUAGCUACAGGCUUAACACAUGCAAGUCGAGGGGCAGCAUGGUCUUAGCUUGCUAAGGCCGAUGGCGACCGGCGCACGGGUGAGUAACACGUAUCCAACCUGCCGUCUACUCUUGGACAGCCUUCUGAAAGGAAGAUUAAUACAAGAUGGCAUCAUGAGUCCGCAUGUUCACAUGAUUAAAGGUAUUCCGGUAGACGAUGGGGAUGCGUUCCAUUAGAUUGUAGGCGGGGUAACGGCCCACCUAGUCUUCGAUGGAUAGGGGUUCUGAGAGGAAGGUCCCCCACAUUGGAACUGAGACACGGUCCAAACUCCUACGGGAGGCAGCAGUGAGGAAUAUUGGUCAAUGGGCGAGAGCCUGAACCAGCCAAGUAGCGUGAAGGAUGACUGCCCUAUGGGUUGUAAACUUCUUUUAUAAAGGAAUAAAGUCGGGUAUGGAUACCCGUUUGCAUGUACUUUAUGAAUAAGGAUCGGCUAACUCCGUG
rnacentral:rRNA from 1 species